rnacentral:rRNA from 1 species
CUGUUCGCCAUUUAAAGUGGUACGCGAGCUGGGUUUAGAACGUCGUGAGACAGUUCGGUCCCUAUCUGCCGUGGGCGCUGGAGAACUGAGGGGGGCUGCUCCUAGUACGAGAGGACCGGAGUGGACGCAUCACUGGUGUUCGGGUUGUCAUGCCAAUGGCACUGCCCGGUAGCUAAAUGCGGAAGAGAUAAGUGCUGAAAGCAUCUAAGCACGAAACUUGCCCCGAGAUGAGUUCUCCCUGAGACUUWRAGUCUCCUGAAGGAACGUUGAAGACGACGACGUUGAUAGGCCGGGUGUGUAAGCGCAGCGAUGCGUUGAGCUAACCGGUACUAAUGAACCGUGAGGCUUAACCUU